CAUUCAAUGAUUAAGUGUCAGAGGUCCCCAUGAAGAGAUCACAUGAUCACACCUGAGACAGGGAGGACAGCACGAGCGCUCCUACCUGAGAGGACACGCCCCCCUCAGGUGAGACCACUUCACCCUAAGGACAGGGAGAUCCUGUAACUAUACUGCCAUUUGCUCUGUUUCUUUUUAUAAAUAUGAUUUAUAAAGAAAAAGAAAUAAAUGAAACACGAGGUGACUUUGACGCAUAAGAAACGCAAUGCAAUUGUCACCACGUUUUGCACGAUCGGUUAUCAAAAAUGCAUCCAAAAACAGUCAUUUUUGGCAUUUCUUUUUGGUCAUCGGAUCAGUUUUUUUUUUUUUUGCAAGGAAGUAAUGGAGCAAGAAGGAGCCUCCACAGUGAGCAGUCAGGUGAAGAGCUGCACACCUCCAAUUCCUCAACAAGUGUUCAACACCGAGCCCUGUCGUCUCCUCAACUCUUCCUGUACAGUCAUCAUCAUAAGGUUAGACAGAUAGGUGAACUGAAGCUGAGGGGGUCACGACUGCUCCUGUGCUCCCACGCCAGCCCAGAGACGGGAGCAGUGAUGAGAUCCAGAGACAAACACACUGUGCCAGCGGAGGAAGCUGCUGCUGCUCUCCCCUACGGCCUGCACGUACAAUCACUAAGUCAUUAUCAUUCUCAGAACAAACACGUUCUUUAUGUAAACGAUCUGUCUUAAGGCUUCUUUAAGAGAGAGGCUCGGUUCCCUCGACUCCUUAAAACUGCAUUCAAGACAAGACGGUCCCGUGCAGCAGAGGCCCAAACCAAUAAUAAACAGCACAGAGGGAAAAAAAAUAGAAACAGCACAGAGCUAUUUAAAGUUAGGCCUUAAGCAUUUUCUGUCAAGUGAAUCUUUUUUUCUCCGCUUUUUUUUUGUUUUAGACAUAGAGUCUCAAAGUGUUAGCCCGUAAGGCUAUCACCAAGGCACACUAGUAGCACGAGAGCAUCUGUGGGCGCCUUUGGGCUUUUUCCUACCCAUCACACCAUGGUGGGCCGCGGCUCUGAUGAUCCUGAGGCCUUGUGGCCAUGGAAACCCACUCAUGUAUGAAUGUUACUUUGUUUAAACAUGACUCCAGGAGCAGAGACAGAGGACACGACAGGACUGUCCUGGGAAACACAUCACGUGUUGGUGAUGUAACAGGAAAGAGAAAAAAGCAAUAGGAGUCGCUGCUUUGGUGUGUUGUUGCCCAAAAAAAAUGUGGAGGCAGGAGGAAGCUGACAGGUUGUGUGUACGGUAGGGGGAUUUCCUCAAUUCACUGCAAGCAUCAGCAACUUCUGUAUUACAGUGUCAUUUAAUUAUGAAAAUACAUCACAAUCAAAUCAACCUAACAACAAGAGAGCAAGAGAUUUCCUAUAUAUGUUGUAAAUAUUUAAAAAAUCAAGUCAGUAUCAGGCUUGGUAUUCAGAAUCUCCGUAAGAAAUUUAGGACUGAAGCUAACAAUUAUUUCCUUUAUUGAAUAGUGUCCUGAUUUAUUUUCUCAAUUCAUCGAUAUUAUCCACAUUCAGUGGGCUUCUCUUUUUUCCAUCUCUACCUUUUGCUCACACUAUUCAUGUACGUGCUGCUUGUACUUUCUCAGAAGAAGAUGAAAAGGGUGUGCUGUCUCUCUCUCGUCUCUGUUUCAUAUCUUUGUAAAUAAUUUAAACAUCGCAGUUUUUUGACAGUUGUUCAAAUAAAAUAGAAAAUUUGCAGACA